CUACGGGUGGCUGCAGUGGGGAAUAUUGGACAAUGGGCGAAAGCCUGAUCCAGCCAUGCCGCGUGUGUGAAGAAGGCCUUCGGGUUGUAAAGCACUUUCAGUGAGGAAGAAAGCCUUGGGGCUAAUACCCUCGAGGAAGGACAUCACCCACAGAAGAAGCACCGGCUAACUCCGUGCCAGCAGCCGCGGUAAUACGGAGGGUGCGAGCGUUAAUCGGAAUUACUGGGCGUAAAGCGCGCGUAGGCGGUCUGAUAAGCCGGUUGUGAAAGCCCCGGGCUCAACCUGGGAACGGCAUCCGGAACUGUCAGGCUAGAGUGCAGGAGAGGAAGGUAGAAUUCCCGGUGUAGCGGUGAAAUGCGUAGAGAUCGGGAGGAAUACCAGUGGCGAAGGCGGCCUUCUGGACUGACACUGACGCUGAGGUGCGAAAGCGUGGGUAGCAAACAGGAUUAGAUACCCGAGUAGUC
rnacentral:rRNA from 1 species